rnacentral:lncRNA from 1 species
AUGAUGAUCCAACUCAACACUGGAACUCUUCCAAGUCAAGGGAAGCUUUUGGUUUUACUCAUUUAUUGCCACCGGGGCUCGCCUGUUGACAGUAAGUUGACUAACUGUUCAAGACCUCUCCUCUUCACUUCACUCUGUAAGUACACUUGACAAUAUCUUGAAAUAUAGUUUUAGUUUUGAUGUUUUUAGCCAAACAUCACAUGACUUCCUGUAUCUUUGUACUUGUUGGUUUAUUUUUAACUGUGUUUUGGUUGUUACAUCAGGGCCUGUAUUCAUAAAGUGUCUCAGAAGGUCCAUAUAAUUAUGAUCUAAAAGGCUAAACUGAUCCCAGAUCAGCUCUCCUACUCUGAUACACUUUGUGAAUACUGACCCUGGACUGUGGUUUCAUGUGUUUAGUUCAGUUUAUUCAUUUACAUGUUUAAAACAUGAUCAGUAGAGUUUACCAGUAAUACCCAGAUCUCCAUUCAAUAGGGUCAUGUUCACUGUCAUAGUAUAACAUGGUCAAGUAUAACUGUGUGUGUGAUAUGUCUGUGUGUGUGUGUGAUAUGUCUGUGUGUGUGUGUGAUAUGUCUGUGUGUGUGUGUGAUAUGUCUGUGUGUGUGUGUGAUAUGUCUGUGUGUGUAUGUGUGUAAAUACAUUUUUACAUAUUAAUCUGAUUGUUGGAUAUAGAGUCAAGACAAAAAUUAUUGGCCCCCUUGACAAAUAUUGAGCUAUAUUGUGUGCUACAAAAGAUAGGAAGUCCAUUGUACAUGUUGUUUCACAUGAAGACUUUGCAUGCUAUUUUAAGGGCUCUCAGAGCAACAGAUUGUUGUGGAGACAUUUUGAAAAUUGCCUUAAGUAAGAGUGAGUGAGUAAGAGUGAUUGAGUGGAUGCUUCGUAAGAGCUUAGGAGUAGUAUUAACAUGAGACACAGUGAUGGUGGGUUGUGUUUAGGAGUAGUAUUAACAUGAGACACAGUGAUGAUGGUUUGUGUUUAGGAGUAGUAUUAACAUGAGACACAGUGAUGGUGGGUUGUGUUUAGGAGUAGUAUUAACAUGAGACACAGUGAUGGUGGGUUGUGUUUAGGAGUAGUAUUAACAUGAGACACAGUGAUGGUGGGUUGUGUUUAGGAGUAGUAUUAACAUGAGACACAGUGAUGGAGGGUUGUGUUUAGGAGUAGUAUUAACAUGAGACACAGUGAUGGUGGGUUGUGUUUAGGAGUAGUAUUAACAUGAGACACAGUGAUGAUGGGUUGUGUUUAGGAGUAGUAUUAACAUGAGACACAGUGAUGGUGGGUUGUGUUUAGGAGUAGUAUUAACAUGAGACACAGUGAUGAUGGGUUGUGUUUAGGAGUAGUAUUAACAUGAGACACAGUGAUGGUGGGUUGUGUUUAGGAGUAGUAUUAACAUGAGACACAGUGAUGGUGGGUUGUGUUUAGGAGUAGUAUUAACACAAGACACAGUGUUGUGGGUUUGUAGGUUUAGAUAAACACAAUCAAUUUCCUGUUCUCCAUUUCUGUCUGUCCUCUGACAGGCCUCCUGAAUCAUAUCAGAAAUCUACAUAUGCACAUUAGACUUUAUAGAAUAUAGUCCUCUGUAGCUCAGUUGGUAGAGCAUGGCACCUGCAACGUGAUGGGACGCACAUAUAAAUAACUGUAAGUCGCUUUGGAUAAAGCAUCUGCUAAAUUACAUUAUUUAUGGACAGCAGACUACAACACACUACACAGUCAAUACAGCA